rnacentral:misc_RNA from 1 species
GAUGAAGAACGCAGCGAAAUGCGAUAAGUAGUGUGAAUUGCAGAAUUCAGUGAAUCAUCGAAUCUUUGAACGCACAUUGCGCCCCUUGGUAUUCCAUGGGGCAUGCCUGUUCGAGCGUCAUUUGUACCUUCAAGCUCUGCUUGGUGUUGGGUGUUUGUCUCGCCUCUGCGUGUAGACUCGCCUCAAAACAAUUGGCAGCCGGCGUAUUGAUUUCGGAGCGCAGUACAUCUCGCGCUUUGCACUCAUAACGACGACGUCCAAAAGUACAUUUUUACACUCUUGACCUCGGAUCAGGUAGGGAUACCCGCUGAACUUAAGCAUAUCAAUAAGCCGGAGGA